rnacentral:ribozyme from 14 species
UCUUGUUUUGCUUUUUUUUUUUUUUUUUUUUUUCAUUUUUGG